CCUGGUAGCUUAGAGGGUAAAGCGUCUGCCUACAAUGUGGGAGACCUGGGUUCGAUCCCUGGGUCAGGA
rnacentral:tRNA from 1 species